GCUGAAAUAGUUCAGUUGGAAGAGCAUUAGUCUGAAGAUCUAAAGGUCCCCGGUUCAAUCCUGCGUUUCAGCA